UACGUAGGGGGCAAGCGUUAUCCGGAUUCACUGGGUGUAAAGGGAGCGUAGACGGCGACGCAAGUCUGGAGUGAAAGCCCGGGGCCCAACCCCGGGACUGCUCUGGAAACUGCGUCGCUAGAGUACGGGAGGGGCAGGCGGAACUCCUGGUGUAGCGGUGAAAUGCGUAGAUAUCAGGAGGAACACCGGCGGCGAAGGCGGCCUGCUGGACCGUGACUGACGUUGAGGCUCGAGAGCGUGGGGAGCAAACAGG
rnacentral:rRNA from 1 species